rnacentral:lncRNA from 1 species
UCAACUGGGAGAAUCUGUAUCCUUAAAAUUAAAACAUUUAAAUCAUGAGUAUAAGAGUCCAAGCUUUGGAUCAAGAAAUCACCUCCACCUUGGUUGGAGUUUGGGGUAUGGUGUGUAUUUGAAGAUUCAAAGUCAACUUUUAAUAACAGUGCCUGCACGUGGUCUUCAGGAGCUCAAACACUCUCACACAGAACAGAAAGGAAGUCUCCAAAACGAUUGUGAAAUUGACAAAUCACCGCACUGGUAAGCUUCAGAUUCCGACUUAGUUUGCCAUAGUUUUCAAACCUCAUAGGUUCCUAGAUAUCUAAACAUUGUAUGUUAAUCCUUCAAAGAUUCUGAGCAGGGAUUA